GACGUAGGGGGCGAGCGUUAUUCGGAAUUAUUGGGCGUAAAGAGCUCGUAGGCGGUGUGUCGCGUCGGCCGUGAAAACCUGCAGCUUAACUGUGGGCUUGCGGUCGAUACGGGCAUCACUGGAGUUCGGCAGGGGAGACUGGAAUUCCUGGUGUAGCGGUGAAAUGCGCAGAUAUCAGGAGGAACACCGGUGGCGAAGGCGGGUCUCUGGGCCGAUACUGACGCUGAGGAGCGAAAGCGUGGGGAGCGAACAGG
rnacentral:rRNA from 1 species